rnacentral:rRNA from 1 species
CCUUUUGUAUAAUGGGUCAGCGAGUUAAUCUUGCGAGCAAGCUUAAGCCGGUAGGUGUAGGCGUAGCGAAAGCGAGUCUGAACAGGGCGUUCAGUUCGUAGGAUUAGACCCGAAACCGGGUGAUCUAGCCAUGAGCAGGCUGCAGGUGGGGUAACACCCACUGAAGGGCCGAACCCACUGAUGUUGAAAAAUCACGGGAUGACUUGUGGCUAGGGGUGAAAGGCCAAUCAAACCCGGAGAUAGCUGGUUCUCCGCGAA